GGGGGUGUGGCCGAGCGGCCUAAGGCGGUCGCUUGCUAAGCGGCUGCGGUUACAAAUCGCCGCGGGUUCGAAUCCCGCCGCCCCCA
rnacentral:tRNA from 1 species